GACGAACCGUGCGAACGUUGUUCGGAAUCACUGGGCUUAAAGGGCGCGUAGGCGGCUCGCCAAGUCCGGGGUGAAAGCCUCCAGCUUAACUGGAGAAGUGCCUUGGAAACUGGCGGGCUCGAGCGAGAUAGGGGUCGUGGGAACUUCCGGUGGAGCGGUGAAAUGCGUUGAUAUCGGAAGGAACGCCGGUGGCGAAAGCGCACGACUGGAUCUCUUCUGACGCUGAGGCGCGAAAGCCAGGGGAGCAAACGGG
rnacentral:rRNA from 1 species